rnacentral:lncRNA from 1 species
AAACAAUAUCAUUAGACACAAUUGUCAAGAACGGGAUCGAGCAACCAUCUCCACCUGUCAAUAGUAUCCUGCAAAACAAUAUCAUUAGACACAAUUGUCAACAAUCAACACGUUGAAGAAAUAAUAAUACUAUUACCCACAUAUUGUUUUGUAACCUUAGGUUGUUGCGUCAGGGAUGAGUCGUCUACGUUAUUUUGGUGGGAUCUUUAGCUGGACAAUUUGGAAUGAAACAAAUGGUCGCAUUUUUAAGCACAAGGAGUAUUAUUUACAUCUUUGCUCGACAAGAUCAAGCUUCAGAUGUUUUGAUGGCUGAAAGCGAAAUACAUUAUUUUCACUUUUGAUUAUCAUUCUUUGUGGCUUAAUCCAAUUGUGUUUGGGAGAAAUAAUUUCAUUUGUUCUUUUUUCUUUCAUUAUUUAUUUAUUUUGUUGUCUUUGUAAUCCUUUGACUUAGUCUUUUUUUCGAGACACAACUUAUGCUGAGAAGUUUUGGUGUUUGGUUAUACUAAUUACAUUUUAACUUCUUAAAAAAAAGGUUAAUUGAAUAAUUGAUGUGCAUAUUCUAUAUUAUAAAUUAGUAGUAUCAAUUAUUCAACGAAAAAAAUAUUUUUGGUUUAUAAUAUACAGUGAUUAGACGAAAGGAAGUAAUGUAUAUUUUCUUCUUAAACUAAUGCAUUUGUAUUACCCUGGAACCUUCUCCGUCUACCAUAUAUUUAUUUGAUUCCAUACUUCUGGUACUCUAUUCAAUCAACCCCACCGGAAGGGUUACGUUCCAAUCUUUUUCUUCUGUCCUUUUCACAAACAUAAAGUCAUACAAAUUAAUACAAUUCAUGGCCAAACAUAAUUAACCUUUUUGUUAGCCUUUUCUUUGUCACGAAAGAGUAUGUACAUCAUCAAACUUUUUAAAAACUAUAUGUCCAUUAUCCAUAGCAAUCAAAUCACUUUUGGUGAUAUCCCCCGGAACUUAGUUAGUUGAUAGAGAUAUUGCAUAUUAUAUGUAUGGACCGAGAUUUGAACCCAGAUACUCCAUUUCUUUACAAUUUAAUCGUGUGACCUCUAACCAUUAUACUACUUGACAAAAAAAAAAACCAUUGUUUGUGAUAUUGUGUGUGCAAUUAACAAAGCACGGUAUUUCAUAAGUUAUAACUCGACUGAAAAAAUAACGAAAUUGAUAGAUCAAAAUUUAUGAUUGGGAUUUGAACUUCGAUAUCACUAAUUGUAUACGUGAGUUUUUAAUAAAUUUGUGAUUAUAUAUUUUAAGGUUAAAUAUGUUUUUUGUCUCUAUAAAUAUGCCAACUUUUUGUUUUAGUCCUUAAAAUAAUUUCUAUCUUCUUUUGGUCCCUCUUUUAAAGUAAACUCAUACGUAGAAUACAUAUUUUUUAAUAAAAAUUUAUAAUAUUAUAAGAAUCUCUCACAAAAAAAUUUAGAAUUUUUUAACAAAACAUGAAUUUAAUAUGAAUUUUUAUAUGUUUGACGGUUAAAAAUUCAUAACUAAAUUAUGUUUUGUUAAAAAAUUCUAAUUUUUUGGAGAAUUUUUUUUUACAAUAUUCUACAUAUUUCUGCACAAUUUCAUUAAAAAGUACAAAAAUUAACUUAAAAAUAGGGACCAAAAAUAGUGAUUGAAAAUUUUAUAGGGAUUAAAAGUUGAAAGAAAAUUUUAGAGGGACUAAAACAAAAAGUUGGUAUAUUUACGGGGACCAAAAACAUAUUUAACCCUAUAUUUUAAAAAAAACAAAGCAUUACAAGUCUACUGUUCAUAUUAAAUUUUCAACGCCCAGAAAGCAACCAAAAUUUCCACGUACUUUCAAGUUUCAACCCCAGUCCCUACUUCCCUUGUAUCCUCAGUCUCUUAGCUUAGACUAUUCCAUAUGGGAGACAUUUUUCUUGUUGACUAAUCCGUAUGGGAGACUUGAUAUUCUUUAAUAUAUAAUAAAAGAGCUUAAACUAUUAAAAUAAAUAAUUUUUCUAUCAAAAAAUAAAAUAAGUAGUUUAUAGUAGUAAUUUAUAAAGUAAAUAUUCGAAAUCACAUUUAGGAUUUCGUCUAUCUUCAAAGAAAAAAAUGAUAUUAAAGAAAUAAAAUUAAGAAUCUAUUAGAUUUAUAAAAAUAAAUAUAAAUGUAAAUUUGAUACUAAAAAGUCUCAAAUAUUAAUUAAAAUUGUUUUUUUUAAGGAUAUUGUAAGAUACCCAUAUUAUAUUGGUACUUUAAGGAUAUUUAACAUUUCAAGGAUAUAAAGCAUCUUUAUAUGCACCAAUCACAUAUGACACUUAAAAUCAAAUAUUUAAGAGAUAAAAUGAAAUAUAGUUUUUUUUUUUUAAAAAAAAAAAGAGAUAAAAUAAAACAUAAGAAUGUGAUUGAAUUAUUCGGAUAGUUGGUGGAAUGAAACGAAAUAGAAAGAAAUGACGUAACGUUAUUCUUAUAAAGUUAAACUGAUUCUAUUUUAUUAUUUUCCUCUAAAAAUAAAAGUCUAAUUUAUUUUAUUCCAUUUUAUUGAUUAAAAAUUCAUCUCCUAAAAUAAACAAAUAGAGUAACUGAGAUUCGAACCCGACUAUUACAAAAACCAAUCACUCGAAAGACUGUUGUUACAUAUAAAAAAGAAGAUAUACUUAAAAAAAAAAUACUUAUUGUACACAUCUUCUAUACCAUCAAUAUAAACUUUUCUUUAAACAAUUAAAUCAAAAUGUAUCAUUAAAUCUCCUUUUCAUUUAAUAAAAUACUAAAAAAAUGUCAACUUAAAAUAAAGAAGUUUCAUCUAUCAACACACUUCAAACUUCAAUUUGAAAAGAGACGUAUAAAACCAAGUAAUUCAAGUGUCAUCUAUUCACUAUAAUCACCUCCUACCCAAACCAAAACCAGUGUCACCAAUACACACAACACACAAAUCAAAACCACUCUCACCUUACUAUAACCAUAGUUAAUCAAUUUCUCCAACAAAAAAAUAAAAAAACUAUAGUUGAUUAAUUUCACUAUAGUAUCAAACCAUUCAUGGAAUAUUUCACCAAAUCAAAGAUCAUUAAGCUCAAAAGCCACCAAGAUAAGUACCUUAUCGCCGACGACAACAACGGAAAAGUCCGUCAAAGCCGAAACGGAGCCAUUAAAAGAGCUCAAUGGACAGUGGAGAUAAUUCAAAAACUACAAACUCAUCACCACGUAAUAAGGUUGAA